GAAGGGGGCUAGCGUUGCUCGGAAUCACUGGGCGUAAAGGGUGCGUAGGCGGGUCUUUAAGUCAGGGGUGAAAUCCUGGAGCUCAACUCCGGAACUGCCUUUGAUACUGAAGAUCUUGAGUUCGGGAGAGGUGAGUGGAACUGCGAGUGUAGAGGUGAAAUUCGUAGAUAUUCGCAAGAACACCAGUGGCGAAGGCGGCUCACUGGCCCGAUACUGACGCUGAGGCACGAAAGCGUGGGGAGCAAACAGGAUUAGAUACCCUAGUAGUCCACGCCGUAAACGAUGAAUGCCAGCCGUUAGUGGGUUUACUCACUAGUGGCGCAGCUAACGCUUUAAGCAUUCCGCCUGGGGAGUACGGUCGCAAGAUUA
rnacentral:rRNA from 1 species